AGUAAUGGCUUUCUUCUGGUCACCAUAAAGCCUCUAUGGAGCGUACGGCUUAUUGUCGUCCUAUGUACAGAUACUCCAGUCUCUGCUUUGGAACUCUGCAGCUCCUCCAGGGUUACCUUAGGUCUCUGUGCUGCCUCUCUGAUUAAUGCCCUCCUUGCCCGGUCCGUGAGUUUUGGUGGGCGGCCGUAUCCUGGCAGGUUUGCUGUUGUGCCAUGUUCUUUCCAUUUGGUAAUGAUAGAUUUGUUGGUGCUCCUGGGGUUCAUCAAAGAUUUGAAUAUUUUUUUUAUAGCCUAACCCUGACUUGUACUUCUCAACAACAUUGUCCCUUACUUGUUUGGAGAGUUCCUUGGUCUUCAUGGCAGUGUUUGGUUAGUGGUGCCUCUUGCUUAGGUGUUGCAGCCUCUGGGGCCUUUCUGUAAUGACAGAUCAUGUGACACUUAAAUUGCACACAGGUGGACAUCAUUUCACUAAUUAUGUGAUUUCUGAAAGUAAUUGGUUGCACCAGAGCUUUUAAUGGGCUUCAUAAGAAAGGGGUUGAAUACAUACGCACAUGCCAAUUUUCUGUUUUCUAUUUCUAAAAAAUAGUUUUAUGUAUAUAUAUUUUUCUCAUUUCACUUCACCAACUUAGACUAUUGUGUUCUUAUCCAUCACACGAAAUUCAGAUUAAUAAAACAUUGAACUUAAGGCUGUAAUGUAACAAAAUAGGUAAAAAGUCAAGAGGGGUGAAUACUUUUGCAAGGCACUGUAUAUAUGCAGUUCUGGAUGCAUUUUGCUGUGUCCUGUGGAGAGGGGGCCCAGAAGUCUGAUGUUUCCCUCCUACAGCUUCCUGUCUUCUCCUCUCAUAGUACCGCGAGAGCAUUGCUGCGCUGAGCAUUGCCAUAGCAACCCACGGCA